UAUUCUGCCCCACGGGGAAGGAUGAGAGCUUCGACCAAGGUUCGACUCGAGCGAAGCGAGAGAACGUUGCCGCAGGCAAUGGCCUGAAGGCGAGGCGCUUUAGCGCCGAGUAAUCCUUACCCCACCACUG
rnacentral:sRNA from 1 species